UAAUUCUUUAAAUGUCUUCAGGGACCAUGCCUUCUGUUUAAGACAUUCUGUUAUAAUUUUAGUCUACCCUAAAAUGCUAAUAGUCUCAGAAGUUCUGACUGGUUAAAACCAGUUGCACACCCGUUGGUGAUUUCACAUAGGUUACAAGCAGGAUUGUGGUGAGCUGAAGGGAGGCUGUUUGUAAGAGCUGAUUUCUUUUGUGAAAGACAGCAGUUUAAAAACAAAAGAGCAAACUUUGGACUACAGGAGAGAUCAGAAGUACAACGGGCAUAGACGUACACGCUUUUACCUCAGGUGUGGGGCGGAGCAUUUUGUGCAGGUUAUGCUACCGUAGCCUACUGCAGUGGUGCCCAACAAUGUGUCAUGGAGGGCCAAGAGAGUGCACGUUUUCAUUCCAACCAAUCACUUCACCUAAUGAUUUCACUAAUUAGUCCCCUCCUCUCUGGUUGAAGGUGCAGUAUUAUAUUAGUGAAAUCAGCAGGUGUAGUGAUUGUUUGGAAUGAGACCUGCAUACACUCAGCCUUCCAUGGCCGAUGGAUUGGACACCACUGACCUACAGCUUGGUGGUUAUUAGGUAGCAGUUUUUCUAAAUGCGCUUUACCAUAAGAGCUGUAUAAGUUUACUGCUCGGCUUAAUUCGGUGGAGAAGGGUAAGAUGUCUGUUGCCGGACAGACUGCCGAAAGUUCUGAAGACAAGAAGCUGGCCCCAUGGCAGAGCCUGACUGUGUCACACCAGGGCUGGGAAAGUGGGGCUGGGAGCUCAUUCCAUCGCCCAGUAUGGAUUCCGGAACAUUCAGAGCUGAGCCAAGUUGGCAGGGCUACAGUCGGUCAGAAAGCCGCAUGAACCAGCACCCUAUUUUCCCGGGCCCAGAUCCGUCAGAACCGGCAUCUGGUCGGGUGAGUACUGAAUUGAGUGAACUGCCCACAGGUUCCUUGGGCAAGUGGACCGCCUCGCUGUUCUCUGUGUGGGAGGACGUUCGGGUUUUACAAGACACCCGGGAGUGCAGUGCACACACAAAAGCAUGUCGAGAGGGAGCCAGCGCACCGCGCCCUGUGUGGAGAGACCUGUGGCAGCGAGGCUCAGUUAAACUGGCAUGAGAUAAUUCACCAGGGGGAGCGGCCGCACUGCUGCCCACAGUGACCUGGGGCAACUUAAACUGCACAAAAUGUCAAAUGGUCACUGUGGCGAGUCCUGAUGUUCCUCUCCCCGCAAACCGCACUGUCCGCAAGUACGAGACACACACGGGCUUAACUGUGCGCUUCAACUGCGUGAACGUGUACCCAAACGAACAAACGAAACGCGCACAGACAGAGCAGGUAAACAGUUGCCAGUCGCUGUAAUUGCCUACUGCUGUAGAAGCAGGCCAGCUAAAACCCUCCCUCGCCGCCUGCAGAUGGCGCCCUAACCACACCACACCUCCUCAGUCACAAAAUGGAAAGACCUCACGGCUUCUGAGAAACGGUUUCGUUCUCUUAUCAAGCUCCCGUGUCACCGUCAGACUUGCAGGUCCAGACAGGGAGUGCAAAUGCAUCCACUGCUCCAGGGAUUUCAGCCAUCUAAAUGCUUUAAAAGCCCAUAUUAAACUUCACUCUUCUGAGAGACCCUUUGUUUUUGCACAGUGUGUGGGGACAGCUUCAAUCAAGCAGCUUACAAUACCUACGAAGACACCAGCAGGUUCGCAGUGGAGCCCGGCCUUUCUGUUGUGCUUAUUGCGGUCAGCGACUCUGGGAUUCUUGGUGAAAAAUUGUACAGAUGCGCUUGGUGCAACAAAAUGUUUUGGAUAUUUAUACAGUCGAGCUACAUCAGAAGACUAAACUUGCAUUGGUUUAAUAGAUUUUUCUUGUUUAAUAAUACACUUUUAGUUUGGUGUUUACACCACUAGAUGGCGAUCAAACCAUAUUGUCAGGAGGAAUUGCACAAUAAUAUUAAAGAUUCAUUCCUACUCUCUGUCUAGUAUAAUCCUCUCACUGAGAGAAUUGCCACCGAAUUGAUAGCAGAAAAUAAAUGCACUUGUAAUCAGGA